AGUAGGUAAGAACCGUAUUAAAAGAAUGGAUUCCGUAUUUACCAAGCAAACCGGGGCUAGAAGUGAACCUGUUAUAUUUAAGUAGUUCUUUAUAAAAAGAUAAAAUAAUGAACAGAAAUAUUCUCUUAAUUAGUGUUUUCAUAACCCUUUUGGUGGUGCAAUUAACUACGUGUUGGGAUACCACUAUAAUUAGAAAUCCAGGCUUUAGAUUUAUAUCCGCCCCCGUAAUUACCGAAAAAGAGAAUGAACCUCAAGGGCAGUGGAAACUAUCUAAUACGCACCCUAAUAAAAAAUGCCAAUGCAUGAACUGGAGGGUUUGUGAUGGAGAAAUUGACUCUACAGUUGUGUGCGGUUCACACUACCUUCAAGUUUGCUGUAUAAGAGCGGAAAUACAAACAGUCGUUUACAGAAGAACUGCAGCCAAGAAAUAAUUCUAUUAUAUUGGUAUUUUUAUAUUUAUGUAUGUAUAUGUGUCAAAUAAUAUUUACUUAUACAAAUUUAUAAAACUAAGUAAAGCAACCAAAGACAAUAAACUGGCGAUAAAAAUA